rnacentral:rRNA from 1 species
GAGUUUGAUCCUGGCUCAGAGCGAACGCUGGCGGCAGGCCUAACACAUGCAAGUCGAGCGCCCGUAGCAAUACGGGAGCGGCAGACGGGAGAGUAACACGUGGGAACGCGCCCUUCGGUUCGGAAUAACUCAGGGAAACUUGAGCUAAUACCGGAUACGCCCUUACGGGGAAGAUUUAUUGCCGAAGGAACGGCCCGCGUCCGAUUAGCUAGUUGGUGAGGUAAUGGCUCACCAAGGCGACGAUCGGUAGCUGGUCUGAGAGGAUGACCAGCCUCACUGGGACUGAGACACGGCCCAGACUCCUACGGGAGGCAGCAGUGGGGAAUAUUGGACAAUGGGCGCAAGCCUGAUCCAGCCAUGCCGCGUGGAUGAUGAAGGCCCUAGGGUUGUAAAGUCCUUUCGGCGGGGAAGAGUAAUGACGGUACCCGCAGAAGAAGCCCCGGCUAACUUCGUGCCAGCCGCCGCAGUAAC